AAUGCAUGAUGUGGGCAUUUUUUAAGCAUUUUUUUUAAAUCUUUCCCAACUCUCAUAAAUGGAUUCUUCUUUAAACUGAGUAAAAGAAGUUAUGCCAUUUCUAAAUUU